GACGAACGCUGGCGGCGUGCUUAACACAUGCAAGUCGAACGGAAAGGCCCUGCUUUUGUGGGGUGCUCGAGUGGCGAACGGGUGAGUAACAAGUGAGUAACCUGCCCUUGACUUUGGGAUAACUUCAGGAAACUGGGGCUAAUACCGGAUAGGAGCUCCUGCUGCAUGGUGGGGGUUGGAAAGUUUCGGCGGCUGGGGAUGGACUCGCGGCUUAUCGGCUUGUUGGUGGGGUAGUGGCUUACCAAGGCUUUGACGGGUAGCCGGCCUGAGAGGGUGACCGGCCACAUUGGGACUGAGAUACGGGCCAGACUCCUACGGGAGGCAGCAGUGGGGAAUAUUGCACAAUGGGCGGAAGCCUGAUGCAGCAACGCCGCGUGCGGGAUGACGGCCUUCGGGUUGUAAACCGCUUUCGCCUGUGACGAAGCGUGAGUGACGGUAAUGGGUAAAGAAGCACCGGCUAACUACGUG
rnacentral:rRNA from 1 species